AACCUUUAGCAAAACAAAUAUUAAAGGCGACGCCUGCCCAGUGAAUUAUUAAACGGCCGCGGUACCCUAACCGUGCAAAGGUAGCAUAAUCAUUUGUCUAUUAAUUGUAGACCGGUAUGAAAGGCAAAAUGAGGGCCUGACUGUCUCUUAUAAUAAAUCAAUUAAACUGAUCUUCCAGUCCAAAAGCUGGAAUACUAACAUAAGACCAGAAGACCCUGUGAAGCUUAAACUAAACUAUUAAAACUUAUAAUAACACCUUUCGGUUGGGGCGACCUUGGAAAAAAAAAGAACUUCCAAACACAUGACCUCUUAUCAUUCAAUCAGGCUAACAAGCCAAAAUAUAUAGACCCAGCACAGCUGAUAAUUGAACCAAGUUACUCCAGGGAUAACAGCGCUAUCUUCUUUAAGAGCCCAUAUCAAAAAGAAGGUUUACGACCUCGAUGUUGGAUCAGGACAUCCUAAUGGUGCAACCGCUAUUAAGGGUUCGUUUGUUCAACGAUUAAUAGUCCU
rnacentral:rRNA from 1 species